rnacentral:lncRNA from 9 species
AUUGCAGCUCUGUGACCACAUGUCUCAGAGGAACCAAACUUAUACAUUCCUGGUACAGGUUGCGAUGUGACCUCGUUCCAAGGUUGAGCCCUGGAGAAGAAAAUAAUAGCACCGGCCUGUUUAUACAGGGCUUUCCAUUUUGCCAAGCACUUUCAGAGACGCCAUCUCCUUCAGUGGUCACAAGAACCUGCAAGUAGAUUGCGCUUCUCCCCCCACCAAGAGAUGAGGGAGCUGAGACACGGUUCUCACGCCCUGUAGAUCAGCUAAUGUUGAACCUCACGGAAUUGUCCCAGCAAAGCCCUUUCACAGGAGCACGACUGCACACGGUUCAUGAUGGACUCACUGGCCAGCACCUGAAUGCAGAACAAUUGUUUCAACUGCUCCUUCAUUUUACAUGGAGGAACCUGAGGCUUGAGGAGGGAGGCGGGUUGUGUGAUGGGUGAGAAGCCUUUGCCCCUCUCUGCUGACAGAGAGCCAUCUGGGCUAGGGGAUGGCUGAACAGCUAAAAUCCUGGGACCGGAGGUUUUGUUUGCUUGUUUGGGAGCUGUGCCCAUGGCACGUGGAAGUUCCCAGGCCAGGGAUCGAACCUGGGCCACAGCAAUGACUAGAACUGCUGCAGUGACAGUGCUGGCUCCUCAACCCAUGGUGCCACAAGGAAACUCCCUGGGACUGGAGAUUUUAGUCCUUCGAAGUCAUAGAAAUGGGUCCAGAAAUGGAGGAGGAUGGCUCCGAAUCCAAGCCUUCACCAAGUUCCUCAUACAUAUGCCUCCCUCAGCAUCUUCUGCAGAUGACAGGGGUUUUGGAUUCCUCUCUUCGACCCCCUCCCCACCUCAUGCAUUCCUGUCUCUCAUCCUGCUGAAGCAGGUCUUGACUGUAGGCAAUCGGACGUCCAGGGUGCGGGUGCGCAGGAAGCCCUGUCUGGCACGACAUCCAGGAGCCCCCAGGCAGCGGGGAGGUGGACACUCCAAAGGGCAGCUCCGAGCUCGAGUCCAGCUGCAGCCCAAACUGAGUGAUCAGCGAGCCCCAGUGGGGACAGAGAUGGCAAUGAAAGAAGUCAACUUGGGAACAGGGAUGCCGGGAGGGACCAGGCCUGGAAGAGACGAGGAGCGUCCAAGGGCGAAGCGCCGCUCAGCCGUCACAGGGCUGCCGCGCGACAAGCAUUUGGGGAAAGGUAGGACCGGGUCCCCGCCACCUGCCGGUCAGCAGCCCUACCCACAGUCAGGCCGCGGCCGCCCUGGCCUGGUC